rnacentral:rRNA from 1 species
CCUACGGGAGGCAGCAGUGGGGAAUUUUGGACAAUGGGCGCAAGCCUGAUCCAGCCAUGCCGCGUGGGUGAAGAAGGCCUUCGGGUUGUAAAGCCCUUUCGGCUGGGACGAAAAGGUUCGGGUUAAUAACCCGGAUCCAUGACGGUACCAGCAGAAGAAGCACCGGCUAACUACGUGCCAGCAGCCGCGGUAAUACGUAGGGUGCAGGCGUUAAUCGGAAUUACUGGGCGUAAAGCGUGCGCAGGCGGUUUGCUAAGAGAGAUGUGAAAUCCCCGGGCUUAACCUGGGAACUGCGUUUCUAACUGGCAGGCUUGAGUGUGGCAGAGGGGGGUGGAAUUCCACGUGUAGUAGUGAAAUGCGUAGAGAUGUGGAGGAACACCGAUGGCGAAGGCAGCCCCCUGGGCUAACACUGACGCUCAUGCACGAAAGCGUGGGGAGCAAACAGGAUUAGAUACCCUGGUAGUCCACGCCCUAAACUAUGUCAACUGGUUGUCGGGGAAGCAAUUCCUUGGUAACGAAGCUAACGCGUGAAGUUGACCGCCUGGGGAGUACGGCCGCAAGGUUAAAACUCAAAGGAAUUGACGG